rnacentral:rRNA from 1 species
UACAGAGGUCCCCAAGCGUUGUUCGGAUUCACUGGGCGUAAAGGGUGCGUAGGUGGUUGGGUAAGUCUGAUGUGAAAUCUCCGAGCUCAACUCGGAAACUGCAUCGGAUACUAUUUAACUAGAGGGUUGAGGGGCGUGGAUACUGUGUAGCAGUGAAUAGCGUAGAUAUCAAGUGGAACGACCACGUGGCGAAGGCGAGUCCCUCGGACAGCUCCUGACACUGAGGCACGAAAGCUA